UUACCAACUAUACGCUAGUGC
rnacentral:miRNA from 1 species